rnacentral:rRNA from 1 species
ACGCUCGACACCUACGGGGGCAGCAGUUGGGAAUAUUGGACAAUGGAGGAAACUCUGAUCCAGUGACGCCGCGUGAAGGAAGAAGGUCUUCGGAUUGUAAACUUAUUUUGUCAGGGAAGAAAAAAUGACUGUACCUGAAGAAAAAGCACCGGCUAACUACGUACCAGCAGCCGCGGUAAUCUGAGCGGGCUGGCAAGGC